UACGGAAGGCAGCAGUGGGGAAUAUUGCACAAUGGGCGCAAGCCUGAUGCAGCCAUGCCGCGUGUAUGAAGAAGGCCUUCGGGUUGUAAAGUACUUUCAGUCGUGAGGAAGGUGUUAAGGUUAAUAACCUUAGCAAUUGACGUUAGCGACAGAAGAAGCACCGGCUAACUCCGUGCCAGCAGCCGCGGUAAUACGGAGGGUGCGAGCGUUAAUCGGAAUUACUGGGCGUAAAGGGCACGCAGGCGGUUAAUUAAGUUGGAUGUGAAAUCCCCGGGCUUAACCUGGGAAUGGCAUUCAAGACUGGUUAGCUAGAGUCUUGUAGAGGGGGUAGAAUUCCAUGUGUAGCGGUGAAAUGCGUAGAGAUGUGGAGGAAUACCGGUGGCGAAGGCGGCCCCUGGACAAAGACUGACGCUCAUGUGCGAAAGCGUGGGGAGCAAACGAGGGAUUAGAUAC
rnacentral:rRNA from 1 species